ensembl:lncRNA
AAUGGGGGCUAUGGGGUCAAUAGGGUCUAUGGGGACUAUGGGGUCAAUGGGGUCUAUGGGGGCUAUGGGGUGGAUAUGGGGUCAGUGGGGUCUAUGGGGUCAAUGGGGGCAAUGGGGUCAAUGGGGUCAAUGGGGUGGAUAUGGGGUCAAUGGGGUCAGUGGGGGAUAUAGGGUCUAUGGGGUAUAUGGGGCUCAAUGGGGUCUAUGGGAUCUCUGGGGUCAAUGGAGUCUAUGGGGUUAAUGGGGUCAAUGGGGUCAAUGGGGUGGAUAUGGUGUCUAUAGGGUCAAUGGGGUCUAUGGGGUCUAUGGGGUCAAUGGGGUCUAUGGGGUCUAUGGGGUCAAUGGGGUCAAUGGGGUCUAUGGGGUCUAUGGGGGCAAUGGGGUCUAUGGGGUCUAUGAGGUCUAUGGGGUCUAUGAGGUCUAUGGGGUCUAUGAGGGUGUAUGGGGUCAAUGGGGUCAAUGUGGGCUAUAGGGACAAUGGGGUGGAUAUGGGGUCUAUGGGGUCAAUGGGGUCUAUGGGGUCUAUGGGGUCAAUUGGGUCUAUGGGGUCUAUGGGGUCUAUGGGGUCAAUGAGGGCUAUGGGGUCUAUGGGGGCUAUGGGGUCUAUGGGGAUAAUGGGGACACCAGUGGGGUCAUUGGGGGGGAUAUGGGGUCAAUGGGGGUCUAUGGGGUAAAUGGGGUCAAUGGGGAUGUAUGGGGUCAAUGGGGUCUCUGGGGUCAAUGUGGGCUAUGAGGUCAAUGGGGGCUAUAGGGUCUAUGGGGUAUAUGGGGCUCAAUGGGGUCUAUGGGGUCUAUGGGGUCUAUGGGGUCAAUGAGGGCUAUGGGGUGGAUAUGUUGUCUAUAGGGUCAAUGGGGUCUAUGGGGGCUAUGGGGUCAAUGGGGUCUAUGGGGGCUAUGGGGGUGUAUGGGGUCAAUGGGGUCAAUAGGGCCAUUUGGGUCCAUUUAGGGUCCCUUUGGGUGGAUUUUGGGUUGAUUUGGGGUGAUUUUGGGUCCGUUUUGUCCCCAGUUCCCCCCAACUCCCCCAUCAGCCCCGAAUCUCCACCAGCAGAACGGAACCAGACAGAGCGUCCCCCACGUGCGGCCCUGAGAGCGAGGAUGACUACAGCAACGAGGUGUACGCCUCCGGAUACGUGUGAGUGUCAGUGUUGUAUCAUUGUGACGUUGUAUCGUUGUGUAGUUGUAUCAUUGUAUCACUGUUGUGUUGUUGUAUCACUGUGUCCUUGUAUCAUUGUGUUAUUGUGUUGUUGUAUCAUUGUGUCAUUGUAUCAUUGUAUCACUGUGUCCUUGUAUCAUUGUGUGGUUGUAUCAUUGUAUCCUUGUAUCACUGUGUCAGUGUGUCGUUGUAUCAUUGUAUCACUGUGUCGUUGUAUCAUAGUAUCACUGUGUCGUUGUAUCAUUGUGUCAUUGUGUGGUUGUAUCAUUGUGCCAUUGUGUGGUUGUAUCAUUGUGUCAGUGUGUUGUUGUAUCAUUGUGUGGUUGUAUCAUUGUGUUGUUGUAUCACUGUGUAGUUGUGUAGUUGUAUCAUUGUUGUAUCAUAGUGUAGUUGUAUCACUGUUGUGUCAUUGUGUAGUUGUAUCAUUGUAUCACUGUUGUGUAGUUGUGUAGUUGUAUCAUUGUAUCACUGUUGUGUAGUUGUGUAGUUGUAUCACUACAGCAACGAGGUGUACGCCUCCGGAUACGUGUGAGUGUCUCCUAUGGCGUAUAGUUGUGUUGUUGUAUCAUUGUAUCACUGUUGUGUAGUUGUGUUGUUGUGUUGUUGUGUAGUUGUGUUGUUGUGUAGUUGUAUCACUACAGCAACGAGGUGUACGCCUCCGGAUACGUGUGAGUGUCGGUGUUGUAUCACUGUGUCCUUGUAUCAUUGUGUGGUUGUAUCAUUGUGUGGUUGUGUUGUUGUGUUGUUGUGUAGUUGUAUCAUUGUGUCACUGUUGUGUAGUUGUGUAGUUGUGUAGUUGUGUAGUUGU